rnacentral:lncRNA from 1 species
GCCCUCUAGAACAGUAUGUGACUAGGAGAGCUGGAUGCAAAGUCACUAAGAGAUUACCUGCACCCACCUCCAGAGAUUGUGCCCAACACCCUGCACUGGCAGGCAUCGGCCCAAGGGUCCAGAGGAGGCAAGGCAGAUAACUACUCCUGGCAUCCCAGCUGGUUCUGAUCGCUCCUGUGCCAAUUCAGUGGAGGCCUGGCUGUUUCUGCUGGAUGUCAUACCACUGCUGCUGAUUCGUGUUUGGUAUCUGACACUACUGAACUAGACUGCGGCUAUCCUGACAAACGGAGAUUGAAAAUGCCCCCAAAGAACUACUUCUAAACAGGUAAACAGCACCAAGCUGCCUGGAGAGGAGAAGUUCUUAGCUGGCACCACACAGUCCCUUAGGACUGGCUCUACGAGUCACAGGACUGACCUGACUUCAGCUUGAUCAAGUCUCCUGUAAAGCAAGUGAUUCCCAGGAGCUUGGACAAGGUGAAUGUGUCCACCCCAAUGAUGGGACUUCAUCAGAGCAUCCAGAGAACACACUGUGUGUCAUAUACUACAACGGGCUCUGAAGAGGCCUGAGUACCCACAUACUCCAACAGCGGUGGACCAGAGCAAAGACUUCAAGACUCUAAAGCUUCGGCUUACACAGAAGCCAGGCAGAGGUGCCUGGCUGACCUGGCCUGAUGUAUCUUGUUCCUCUUGAGGCCUCAGCUGCCUGACCCAUGGCUAAGAACCUGGAACUGAGGUUUUCUCGACAUAGCACCAGCCGGCCUCAAACUUUAAUGUUUUCUUCAUCCCGAGACCUGUGGAUCCUGGAGCUUCAUUACAAAGUCAUCAGAAUGCUGCAAGAAGGGUCAAGACACCUGGUCCAGUGACACAGAGAGACUGGCGCCAUGUUCUCAGCAUCCACACUUUUCAUCUCAUUCAUCUCUCCACAUCCAGAGCCUUGGCACCGAUCCACAGAACAGGAAACAACAGCCGAAGAGUUGCAGAUACAAGGUCCUUCCCAGGCUAAUCCCAGCCACCUUGGCCUUGAUAGCUCAACCCCAGACAGCCCAGCAAGCCUGUUAGCUUCCUGUAGAGAGGCAGGAAGAGCAGGGAGGCAAGAUGAGGGCAUCCCAGGCCUCCCUCCUCCCCUCGGUGGAGCUGUUGCCCAAGGCCUGGGGAUGAUUUGUUUGCCCACAAAUCCAAAUAAGAUGACAAGCAAAUCAUCAGGCUGGCUGAGAACGACUCGUUAAUUAGGAAAUAAAAUCAGGGCCCCGGACAC